CGGAGGCCUGCACAUCCAGCAGAGCGGCCAAAAAGGGGUACACUACACCGCUACUCCAAGGCGGGCGGCUGGCUGGCUGGCUGGCGCGCUCCGCACCCACCCGCACCCGCGGGCGGCGGUCGCCUAGGCUCGGCGGCGGAACUGCGCCUGCGCGGUGAGCGCGGACGCCCUCGCCUUCGCACGCCGGGUGACGUGCCGGCGCUUCUCUGGCUUCGGGCAGAGUGGAGGUGGACUUUCUCCUCAACCCUGUGGACAGCAGAAAGCGGCCGAGCGCAAGACGGACAGUGGGAAGAAGUAUAUCACUACUUCCUCGUCUACGACUAGAAGACGUUGCCCAGGAGGGUGAUCCUUGCCACUAAGUUACCUGUCAGGAUGCCAAGCCUAUGUGAGGAAGAAAAUGAGAGAAAGCAGAUGGCCUGUGUCCAGCUUCCACCAGAAUUACAGUCAUCCUGCAAAAGAUGGCAGCACAAACUUGACCCACCUUUCUGUUGUCCACCAAAACUUCUUGCAGCUUUCUUCUAACAAGGGGCAAUGCCUCCAGACAUCCAAGUCGAAGACUGCUCAACAAGCAUGAGACUUAUGCUCUUUGAGGAUGGAGACUGUCUGUUGGUCAGUGUAACCCAGGUGCCCAGGGCUUGGCUCAUGGUUAGCUCAUGGUUUAUUCAGAAGUUUAUAGACUGAAUCCAUGAAUGAAUAUAUCCAUGUAUGGACAGAUGAAUGAAGAGACAGAUGGAUUAAUGGAUGAGUGGAGAGAUGAUUAAGUGCAUUAACAGAUGGUUAAGGGUCUCUCAAGUCGGCAUUUCAGUUUACUCAAUUCUUACAUUUCCAGAUGCCUAUUGCACUUGGCUCUUCUGCUGUCAUCUCAACCUAUACAAACCUGAGCGCUGCCCUAGGUGAUUCCUUACCUCUCUUCUGACAAUGGUGUUCCUUUCACUGGACCUCUGUUUAUUUCAUUCAGUCAGCAGUGAUUUCUGCUCAUUUGUUUGGCUAUCUGCUGUGUGCCAAACAGAGUUGUAGAGGAUGGAGACAGAGUCCCUAAGACAGGCAAGUUUCCAAGGGACUCAAAGGAGUUCCCAGUCCACAGUAGGGUGGAAGGUGAUGUAGCAAACAGUCAGCAAGUAAAAAGUUAGCAAGAUAUGGAGAGGGUGUGGAGAAAAGGGAACCCUUUUACACUGUUGGUGGGAAUGCAGACUAGUACAGCCACUAUGGAGAACAGUGUGGAGAUUCCUUUAAAAACUGCAAAUAGAACUGCCUUAUGACCCAGCAAUCCCACUGUUGGGCAUACACACCGAGGAAACCAGAAUUGAAAGAGACACGUGUACCCCAAUGUUCAUCGCAGCACUGUUUAUAAUAGCCAGGACAUGGAAACAACCUAGAUGUCCAUCAGCAG
ensembl:lncRNA